GACGAACGCUGGCGGCGUGCUUAACACAUGCAAGUCGAACGGAAAGGCCCUGCUUUUGUGGGGUGCUCGAGUGGCGAACGGGUGAGUAACACGUGAGUAACCUGCCCUUGACUUUGGGAUAACUUCAGGAAACUGGGGCUAAUACCGGAUAGGAGCUCCUGCUGCAUGGUGGGGGUUGGAAAGUUUCGGCGGUUGGGGAUGGACUCGCGGCUUAUCAGCUUGUUGGUGGGGUAGUGGCUUACCAAGGCUUUGACGGGUAGCCGGCCUGAGAGGGUGAUCGGCCACCAUGGGACUGAGAUACGGCCCAAACUCCUACGGGAGGCAGCAGUGGGGAAUAUUGCACGAUGGGCGGAAGCCUGAUGCAGCAACGCCGCGUGCGGGAUGACGGCCUUCGGGUUGUAAACCGCUUUCGCCUGUGACGAAGCGUGAGUGACGGUAAUGGGUAAAGAAGCACCGGCUAACUACGUG
rnacentral:rRNA from 1 species